UACGUAGGGGGCUAGCGUUGUCCGGAUUUAUUGGGCGUAAAGAGCGUGUAGGCGGCCAGGUAGGUCUGCUGUGAAAACUCGAGGCUCAACCUCGAGACGUCGGCGGAAACCAUCUGGCUAGAGUCCGGAAGAGGGGAGUGGAAUUCCUGGUGUAGCGGUGAAAUGCGCAGAUAUCAGGAAGAACACCCGUGGCGAAGGCGGCUCUCUGGGACGGUACUGACGCUGAGGAGCGAAAGUGUGGGGAGCGAACAGG
rnacentral:rRNA from 1 species